GGGCCGGUCGUCUAGCAUGGUAGGACGUCGCCCUGACGCGGCGAAGGUCGCCGGUUCAAGUCCGGCCCGGCCCACCA
rnacentral:tRNA from 1 species